CAACAACAUAAAUUCUAAAAUAUUUAAAACAACAACACAUUCACUUAUGUUUAAUUAACACAUUAAGUUAUUCUGUCUCCAUGGAAGAAAAAUUUAAAACAACAACCAUUUAUGUUCUUUUGGGGAUAUGCAAGAGAUCAUAACUGUCCUAGAGUAGCCCACAAAAGAAUCACGGAGUACUCUGUGAGCUUGCUCCCUCU
rnacentral:lncRNA from 1 species